UACGUAGGUGACAAGCGUUGUCCGGAUUUACUGGGCGUAAAGAGCGCGCAGGCGGUCGUUCAAGUCGAGUGUGAAAGCCCCCGGCUCAACUGGGGAGGGUCACUCGAUACUGAUCGACUCGAAGGCAGGAGAGGGUAGUGGAAUUCCCGGUGUAGUGGUGAAAUGCGUAGAUAAUCGGGAGGAACACCAGUGGCGAAGGCGACUACCUGGCCUGUUCUUGACGCUGAGGCGGCGAAAGCUAAGGGGAGCAAAGCGGGG
rnacentral:rRNA from 1 species